rnacentral:lncRNA from 1 species
CAGAAACACAGGAUGCAGGAGUCGUGGCUGUUACUGAUGGUUGUAGAAUGCUGAGCAUGCACUCCUCUGCACCAGGUCUUCUUUCAAAUGGCACAGAACUUUGUGGCUGUCUUCAAGAGUGGGACCUGUGAUUGAAGACUGUGUGGGAUCUUUGGCACAGUGGGCUCCAUUCUGGCUGGUAUACAACACAGGGGUAUCAUCCCUGAGUCUGGGGUGGAGCAUCAGUUUGUCUGCUUGUGUCUGAGCUCCUGUUGUUGCUGGUGGUGAUUUUUUGAAGCCAAGUCUCCUCUGCUGGAACUUCUGUAGAGUGGCUCUGUGUAUUUUCUGCCUCUGUGUACCCCCUGACUAUGGGAUCUCUGUGGGCUGUGGGUGUCAUAGAAGCCACUACCUUAGCUAGUGCAUCCUUCCAGGGAUUUUCCAGUACCAUGUUUGAGGGUAGAUGCCAGUUGCUCUGCAUAUACUGAGCUGCUGCAGAGUCUGUGGGGAGUUCUGG